UACAGUGGUGCCUCGCAAGACGAAAUUAAUUCGUUCCGCGAGUUUUUUCGUCUAGCGAAUUUUUCGUCUUGCGAAGCACGGUUUCCCAUAGGAAUGCAUUGAAAUUCAAUUAAUGCGUUCCUAUGGUCAAAAAGUCCAAACAAAGCCAAAUUUGGUACAACAAGAGUUUAUUAACUGCUCUUUAAAGUCACACAUACUUUAAAGAGCAUAUCAAAAUUGAAGGAACAAUAAAUUAAGUUUCUAAACAUGACAGGAAAAACAUUUAAAAAUCAAAAAAGGGUACAUUACAUUUUCUAAGACUCUGGGGGACCACUCAAAGAAGGUUCCUCUUCCACUCUUUGCUUCUUGCUGAGGAACCUGUCCAUGGUCUGCUGCUUCAUCCGCCUUUUCAGCAGCUCCCUGAGAGGCGACAUGACCGUCGUAUCAAAAAUGUUCGCUUGGUCAUGUGCCACGUGCUUGUCAGGGUGGUGCCGCUCUGCAAAAGCCUGCACCUCAUUCCACUUCUGGCAAAUGUCCCUCAGUUCUUUGGAGGACAGCCGUUCCUCAGUUGCUUCCUCCUCUUCCAGCGAGGCCUGCUCCUGCGCAACCUCUGACUGCAGUUCAACCAGCUCCUGGGUGGUCAGCUCGUGGUCGUGCUCCUCCACCAGCUCGCAGACGUCCUCCUCUGUGACCUCCAGGCCCAUGGUCCUCCCCAAGGCAACAAUGUCCUGCACCACUGUCGACUCUGGUGCAUCAGAGUCACUUGGUGCCACACAGUCCGGCCACAGGCUGCGCCAAGCGCAAUUCAAAUUCCUCUGGCUGAUCCCCUUCCAGGCCGUGGUGAUCAUCUUCAAGCAGGUGACGAUGUCGAAGUGGUCCUUCCAGAAUUCCCGCAGGGUGAUGGUGGUGCAAUCAGUCACCUCGAAGCAUCGCCUGAAAAGCUCCUUGGUGUAGAGUUUCUUGAAAUUGGCGAUGACCUGCUGAUCCAUCGGCUGGAGCAGUGGCGUGGUGUUAGGCGGCAGGAACAUGAUGUUGAUGAAGCUGAACUCCUCCAACAAGUCCACCUCAAGGCCUUUAGGAUGAGCAGGAGCAUUGUCCAUCAGAAGCAAAGCCUUCAGCGGCAGGUCGUUGUCCAGCAGGUACUGUUUGACAGCAGGGCCAAAGGCAAGAUUGACCCAGUCCACAAACAGCACACGUGUGACCCAAGCCUUGCUGUUGGAUCGCCACAUGACACUCAGCCGCUCCUUGUCGACCUUGUGUUUCUUGAAGGCCCGUGGGUUCUCCGAGUGGUACACCAGCAGGGGCUUGAUCUUCAGGUCGCCGCUUGCGUUGGCACAGAAGAGCAGGGUCAGACGGUCCUUCAUGGGCUUGUGGCCAGGCAACUUGGCCUCCUCCUGUGUGAGGAAAGUCCUUUUGGGCAUCCUCUUCCAAAACAGCCCGGUCUCGUCGCAGUUGAAGACCUGCUGUGGAACGUAGCCCUCCGUCUUCACAACCUCCAGGAACUCCAAGGCAAAGUCUUCAGCCGCAGGAACAUCAGAACUGGCAGCCUCUCCAUGCCUGACCACGCUGUGGAUUCCGGAUCUUGCCUUGAACCGGUCAAACCAGCCUCUGCUUGCCUUGAAGACUUCUGGCUCGGCCGAGGUUCCUGGCUGUUCCCGGAUGAGGUCUGCGUGCAAGGCCUUGGCCUUCUCACAAAUCACGGCCUCAGUCACUGUGUCCCCUGCACGCUGCUUCUCUUCUAACCAGAUGAGCAGCAACUUCUCGACCUCCUCCAGAACAGCUGGGCGGUUCUUCACGAUCCUGGUGACUCCCUUGGCUGCAUCAGUCGCAAGGAUCUUCUCUCUCAUCUUCAGGAUGGUCCCGAUGGUCGAUGGGUUCCUGCCGUACUCCCUGGCGAGGUCCGUCACACGCAUUCCACCGUCGUGCUUCCGGAUGAUCUCCUUCUUCAUCUCCAGCGUCACCUUCUCCUUCUUCCUCUCGCCGGCCUCCGCAGCAGCAGCCUUCUUGGGUCCCAUGGCAGCACAGCUGUUACCUUUGUAAACUCAGAAAAAGAAAAAAAAAAUCAGCAAUUCAAACCCACAACCAAGUCCUUGAAUUCCAAACACCCAACCC